rnacentral:rRNA from 1 species
AUGCUUCAGUCUCACUAUGUGGAAAAGGUCUUGAGUCGUUUUGGGUAUAGCGACUGCACACCUUCUCCAACUCCAUAUGAUGCUAGUGUGUUGCUUCGAAAGAAUCGACGGAUUGCUAGAGAUCAACUGAGAUAUUCUCAGAUUAUUGGCUCGCUUAUGUAUUUGGCGAGUGCCACGAGGCCUGACAUCUCUUUUGCUGUGAGCAAGCUGAGUCGGUUUGUGUCAAAAUCGGGAGAUGAUCAUUGGCAUGCGCUUGAGAGAGUUAUGCGCUGUUUGAAAGGCACCGCGAGCUAUGGGAUUCACUACACCGGGUAUCCAAGGGUACUGGAGGAUUACAGUGACUCAAACUGGAUUUCUGAUGCUGAUGAGAUAAAGGCCACAAGUGGUUAUGUUUUUACACUUGGUGGUGGCGCUGUUUCCUGGAAGUCUUGCAAGCAGACCAUCUUAACGAGGUCAACUAUGGAAGCAGAACUCACAGCAUUGGACACUGCCACUGUUGAAGCAGAGUGGCUUCGUGAACUCUUGAUGGACUUACCUAUGGUUGAAAAACCAAUACCCCCUAUCCUGAUGAACUGUGAUAAUCAAACUGUGAUCGUCAAGAUAAACAGUUCGAAGGACAAUAUGAAGUCCUCUGCUUUUGUGAAGAGGAGACUAAAAUCUGUCAGAAAAUUGAGGAACUCCGGAGUUAUUACGUUGGAUUAUAUCUAA